AAAGAAUUAGUUAAUCAAAAUAACAUUAGUUUGUCAAACUAAAGUAAUCACUUAAUGAUAUCCUUUA
rnacentral:tRNA from 1 species